rnacentral:hammerhead_ribozyme from 1 species
AUCCAGCUGACGAGUCCUAAAUGGGACGAAAUGCGUGUCUUGGAU